AGGCUCCGUUUAGUUGGCAGUAUAAGCGGGGAUAACGGAAGUUAUCCCCGCUAUUCCGCCAAACAAAAUAAUUUUUGGCAGGAAUAUUUUAUUCCGAUCAAAUUUUGCUAUUUCUGACUAUUUCGGAAUAGAUUGGGAUUUGCUGUUCCACUAUUUUGAUGGAAUAGUGCUAUUACAAUAUUUAAUUUCAAACUUAAUUAAAAUUACGAAUUGAAUUAAAACUAAAUUAUAUAAAUAUAAUAUGUUAUAUAUUAUAAUAUAUUUUUUUGUUAUAAAAUUAUUAAUUAUACUAUAUUAAUAAUAUUAUUUAUAUUUAAAUAUUAUAAUAAAUUUUAUAAUAAAUUGAUUGUUAUUCCGGAAUUAAUUGUUAUUUAAUGAUUGGAAUCCGGCAUUUCAAAUUUAAAUCCUAAUUAAUUUAUAUUUUUAGUUAAAUUUAUUUUUUAAAUAAAUAAACGAAACGGUCUAAACGAAUAACAUGCUAACUUUUUUCCCCCCAAAAAAUAAAAAUAUAUUUAAAUUUUACAUU
rnacentral:lncRNA from 1 species